GUCUGUAAUUCUCAACAGACAAUUAUCACAAAGCUGACAGGCAAAUGCUCAUUGUCUAUCAAGGUUUUAGCAUUAACAGACAGGAACAAGACAGCAUGUAAAAUAUUUGUGCACAAGCCCUACUGUGGAGGAGAACCAAGAUACUGGAUACCUCCCAUGCACACAAACUGUCCAUCAACCAAGAUGGCCAACCUGUUACAUAGUGCUUCACACUCCUCCAUGCUACAACACAAAAUAUUGAUAUAAUAUGCAGGAAAAAAUAAUGAAUAUUAGCAGAAAAGCCAAAACUUUUAGAGAGCAAUAAAAAAAUUAGCUGAACAAAAA